rnacentral:ncRNA from 1 species
UUAACAGCUAUGAAGGGAUGCGAAAUACAGAAGAGUUUCAGAGAGUCGGCGGCAGGUGGAAGCCGAUACGAAACUGUAUGGAGGAACCUCCCGGAGCAUCCGCCCGAAAUCUUAUGAGAGUAGGCUCGGACGGCACCCACCGUUAUUGGGCAAGAGCUGGCCAGAUAGGCAAGCAGGGUGGUACCGCGGAAUUCAAUCUUUCGUCCCUAUA